rnacentral:rRNA from 1 species
GAUGAACGCUAGCGGGAGGCCUAACACAUGCAAGCCGAGCGGUAGAGUUUCUUCGGAAACUUGAGAGCGGCGCACGGGUGCGUAACACGUGUGCAACCUACCUUUAUCUGGGGGAUAGCCUUUCGAAAGGAAGAUUAAUACCCCAUAAUAUAAUGAUUGGCAUCAAUUAUUAUUGAAAACUCCGGUGGAUAGAGAUGGGCACGCGCAAGAUUAGAUAGUUGGUGAGGUAACGGCUCACCAAGUCAAUGAUCUUUAGGGGUCCUGAGAGGGAGAUCCCCCAGACUGGUACUGAGACACGGACCAGACUCCUACGGGAGGCAGCAGUGAGGAAUAUUGGACAAUGGGUGAGAGCCUGAUCCAGCCAUCCCGCGUGAAGGAGGACGGUCCUAUGGAUUGUAAACUUCUUUUGUACAGGGAUAAACCUACCCUCGUGAGGGUAGCUGAAGGUACUGUACGAAUAAGCACCGGCUAACUCCGUG